AUACCACUUGAUGGAAGAGUAGCUCCGAGAAGUUGACAUUGAACGCGCAAUGCGAGCUUAGGCGCCUCGAAGCUUCCUCCGACAAAGUAAACGCAGCGGAAAGGUUUACAAACCUAUUAUCCGAGAGAGAAAUCGGAAGAGAAUUUGAGUUNGACGCGNAAUNAGAGAAAAUACUNANAGAACCUAAACCUAGACAACCGGAACCCUAGAAAUAGGGAGAAUGGCAGAUUGAACCGAUUAAUCGGUUCAAAUCCAAGGUUAAACGGUGGAAAAGGUAGAUCGAGGGUUGGAGAGGCUUUUGUUCGGUGAAAUUGACANAAAAAGUNAAAACGAGGAAGAAACCCUAAGUUAUGGAGGUUGUUCUGUGUAGGAAACAAAGAGGAACGGUGAAAUACGAAGAGCAAUGGUAAAUCUAUGGAGAAACGAGGCGGAUCUAUGAAGAACUUGACAANACUUGCAAGGAACUGUCGAGAGAGAAUGACUCUCGAAGAAGAAGACGCGUAGGGUGAAAUGGCUUUAGGAAUAUGUAUCUGAGGUGCUGACGAUGUUCGAAGAAGUGACUCUGCUGACGCGUGCCACCAAGCUGAAGUUGAGUGGUGGAAAACGACGUCGUGGAGGAGAGAAAAUGGAAGCACAGUGAGAAAUUAAUGGAAAAUGAAAAUGGAGAUAUUGUGCUUGGAAGGUGGCUAGAGGGAGUCUUUGGACUCUCUAGCCUAUGACUUUCAAGAGAGAAUUAAUUCUGGGUUUCAGAAAUCUAAUUCUCAUUAAUCUCAAAAGUAAGGAAUACAAUGAAAAGCUGGGUAUUUAUAGUGACCCAAGCUCCUUUCACGCUAAGCUACAAAUACAAUGAAAUGUAAAAAUAUAUGAAAGAGGACUGUGCCAAGAGGGAUUCCAUCAUUUGUCUUUAUUGAUAUGGGGACGUACAGUAAUGACAUGAACUGGUGAG
rnacentral:lncRNA from 1 species